UUAUCAUCAGGGGUCCACCUACCUUCCUGGCAGAGUCAUUAGAGAACCUUCUGGAAGUAUAGUAAGGUAGCCACCCGAUCCCUGCAUCUCCAUGCCUCCAGCCCUCCGUUUAUCUGUAAGGCUAAGGAGAGUGCAGGAGCUGAAGGCCUGAAAACCACGUUUCCCGGAUGUCCUUGCCACCAGCCUCCUGUUUAAGGUCUGGGAAUUGAGGUCUCUGUGUGAGAUUUGCCUGGGAAAGAGAGGAAGAACCAUCACUGCUUGGCCGUGGCCAGAAGGCAUAUGGACUUCAGCAGAGGGCCAGAAGACAGAUGUGAGGAUUUUGCCAGCAUUUCCUGGAAACCACCUACUUGAGGGCUACAGGCAGUGAAGUCAUCAGCAAGUCAUCUCCCUGAGAUGCCUGCGCUUCCUGAUUUCCUGAACAUUAGCAGCAACUUCUUUGGCCUUUGUGUAAUCCACUCUUCCAUUGGUUUUGUAAAUCUCUGAUCAUUAUAUUAAAUCCCUUCCCAAUUGAACAUCCUACAGCAGUUUCUACUUUCGUUUCUAAAUUCUCACUGAUGCAUGUUUGGUACCAAAUGUAAAAGCCAGCAGAGUCUUUUCCCGACUUUGGGCUGCAGCAACAUUUCUUGGCUCACUUUGAGCAUGUCUUCCCGUCCCGUGUAAUUUUACUCCUGAGAGAUGGCCAAUGGAAUGGGAGUGCCGCCCAGGUGUGCCCCUCUUGCCUGACGCUUACCAGCCUCCCAAAGGUGAUUCUCCUUUCUUUUCCCACCAAGAAGCUGAAUGGAGCUGGCUCCUGAAGGAGGGCAGAAACCAGGAGGAAGAAAGUGCCCUUCUAAUCAACUCUGGAGCAGAGUCCUGAAUUCUGUCUCCCCGUCCAUGCAAGCCUCACCAGCAUGGGGAAAGUAACAUUUUAUUGUGAGAAGCCACUGAAAUGUAGAGAUUGUUCCAGUAGCUGCCUUCUUCGGUUAGUACACAGUCUUUGAAAGCAGAAACUACAUUCUACAACUUUUGUGUUUCCCAUGGAGCCAAACAUACAUCUAUGGAGAGAAUAAACAGUCAAUAAAUGCUUGCUUUAUGAAUGAAGAGAAAAAGAGAGGAGGAUAAACAUAUUUAAAUAAGGGCAACUUAAUAAUUGGGUGAUCACUGGAGGACGUUAGAUCUAAUAUACAGUAGUGAUCAUUAUGUGCAUGUGUUUGAAUGACAAAAAUGUGCUAGCCUUCCAGACUGUGCUGAGGGCAAAUGUUGGUUAAUACAGCAUAGAGGUUAAAAGCAUGGAUACUGAGUUCAGAUUUGCUCUCCCAUUUACCAGCUGAUUAUCUUGAAAAAAAUACCUAAACUUCGGGGUUUCAGUUUCUUCAUCCACCCGUUUCAUCUGGGGAUGAUACUCAUAGUGUAACUGUUGUAUAGGGUUGUUUUGUGGGUUCAUGAUCUCACACCUGUAGGGUACUGUGAAGGGUGCCUGGUACAUCAUACUGUAUUUGUUAGUAUUGAAUAUAGAAAUUUGGAAAUGUA